GGCCGCCUGGCGUAAUGGCAACGCGUCUGACUACGAUAAGCUCAUCAGCGGUGUAAUCAGGAGAUUGCAGGUUCGACCCCUGCGGUGGUCA
rnacentral:tRNA from 2 species